rnacentral:piRNA from 1 species
UUGGCCUCAGGAGGUGACCUUGAC